rnacentral:lncRNA from 1 species
GAGUAUUCAUGGUUAGAGUCUCAGUCUCUAUUACGGGCCCUAGUACACUUCAGGAACUCAAAAGCUUUGCUGAUAUAAUGCAAGGUGAUAAAAAAGUAGAAAGACUUGGGAUAAUCUUGAUUUCUGAAGGCAUCAAACGGGAAUUAGAGAAAGCAGCAGGAAAAACGAAGGCCUUUUUAAGUUCCAUGAGAACUACGGUUUGCAAGACUGGUCAAAACAGUACAAUGCAAGCGGCAAGAAUCAGGAAGUGCACAGAAACAAGAAGCUCGGUGCACACUGGGAUCAGGCAAGCAUCUGGGAGAAGACUGUAGCAAGACUGGAUCCUGAGAAAUAUACAGAGUUCAGAGGCUCCAUGGCUACACUUUGGGCAUGUAUGUCAUUACAGGAAUGAAAAAAAGAUGAUGGCCAAAUGCUGUAUUAAAAUCCCAUUAGAAAUGCCGGGAGAAAUUUAUGGCCCCAAUCUCUUUUAUCUGACAGCAGUUCCCAUGUGAUCCAUCAGGCUCUGAACAUGAAUUUUAAUGGGCUCAGAACCACUUCUCUACCCUGAGGUCACAGGCUGUCAGAGUGAAUCUUCCACAAACUGAUUGGAACCUGAAGAAUUUGCUCUGUCAAGAGAGGAAAAAAGGCAUAAACCUUAGGUGGUAUGGAGAAUGAGGAAAGGGGAGGAGAAGGAGAAAUCCAAAAGAUAGGUGGAAAACCAUGGGAGCAAAUCAAGGCAGGAAAUCAGAGAAAUCAAAGCCAGAGAGCAUCUCAGGAAGAGCUGAUGGCUACCAGCACUGAAUACCACAGAGAUUAUUACAUCGCAAGACAAUGCAUCGCUCCAGCAAGGAUAACAAAGCGAAUGGGAAGGAAAGGGUUAUGAAGAGUUCAUGGAAGGCACCUUAGGCAGACUACUUUUAGGAAAGAGUGGAUGUGGAAGCUAAGUAUCUGGAAAUUGAUUUCCUUAGAACAGUUUGUGUUUGCAUGUCUUCUGAAAGGUUUUAUGUACUCCCAAGAGUAAGUAUACCUGUUUGAAGAAGCUGCUCAAUAUAGUUCUUAAAAUAGUCUACAAACAUGUUACCCCAGCAUAGUAAGAAAUAGGAGUACAGCCAGAAAUGAGAGUGGGAAUGAUUAGAGAGACCUCUUUGAGGCCUUGGUCGUGGGCAGGAGCACAGUGGGCCGGGCUCUUUCUAGAUGUGCUUUAAUCAUCAGGAAUUCUGAUACAAUUAUAUUUUGACUAUGAUAUAUAAGCUUCAUUUGAUUACUGUUGCCAAAUAUUUUUUGCUCUUCACGAAGUAAACCUCUUUUUAAAACUUUUUAACUGGCAAAUAAUAAUUGCAUCUAUUUAGGGAGUACAUUGUGAUGUUUUGAUACAUGAUUACAUUGUGGAAUGAUUUAAUCAAUCUACUUAAAUUUAGUGAAAAUAACUUAAGCUAUUAAUCUCAGCCUUGGUGGCUUCUCCUAAUUUAUGCUUACACAAGAGGCUAUCUUCAUUGUGAAAUGUCACAGACUCUCACAAGCAAGAGAAGAAAAUGUAGAGAAGCCCCUCAAAUAAAAUGCAUUAGGUUAAUUCAUACCGACAAAUGUGACACACUUAAAAUUGUUCCUAACAUCAGUUCAUGAUUUAUUUCAAAAGUUCUUAAUAUUCAAAAAUGCUCAAUAAUUUAAAGUAUUUCAAUGUAUAUAGCAAAUAAACCCUGCUAUUAAAACAAAAGAAUCAGGUUCAUUUCAGAAGAGUGAAAACUAGCAAGAUCUUACUGUAAAUCAACUGUUUGUUUUCAAUUAUUUGGCAUGAGAUCUUACAUAUUUUUAACCCAUGUUUUAAUUCUCGUAGAUACCCUGUUGCAAAAGUUCUGAAACAUUGUGAGAAAAAGUGUUUUUGUAGCACUUUGGCAAUGGGAGCCUCACUUCACUCUGUUAUGUAAUGUCCCAUCCAGUUUUUAGUUAAACCUGGAAACACCUUUGUCCUUAGGUGAAGCAGCAAGUCUUGCUUAAGCAAAGCUGGUGAAAUCAGAGCCUGGUCCAAGGCUCAGAAGCGUUUGCGGGGAAAAGCAAACACUUUUUGUGGGAGAAGGAAACAAAGGAGAAGAGAGGAGGAGGAAGAAAUUGAAAAAGAAGGGGAAGAGAAGAGGAAAAGAAAAAGAGACGUUGAGAGAAAGAAAAACAGAGAGCUGUGUGUGAUUGGAUGCCAUGACUCCUCAGUCUUAGUGCUAAUGCCGUUGUUACCUAACUCUAUUUAGGGAACUUUCCAGAACAAAGCGAAGCUUUGUGGGCCUGGCUUUCAGAACUUAUGCAACAAUUGUUUUGGGAGCAGACUGAAAAUUUUACAAGAGAACUGAGUUUUCAAGAGACUGACGGUGUGACCAAAAGAUCAAAGGUUUGGUGCAGUGGGACUAAGUUUCAGGCAGCCUUUCAAAUUGUGAAGACUUUCCUCCCUGUUAUGGCAGUUAAGACAUGUGAAAAUGGUAGUUCGAGACACUUAUAAGCAACUUUCUUCUUAGUUCACAAUGUUCCAUGAAUGUCAGUGCCCUCCAAACUCACGAGAACAAAGCAGGCAACCAGGAUGAUUACUCCCAAAUCAUUGAUAAAAGGAGAGAGAAGUACAGAGAUACACAGUGAUUUGUGUGGGUUGCCAAAAAGUUGCACGGUCAGUUUGACAACUGUUAUUGCCUUCAGGUUGACAAAUUGCAAAAGCAGCAUUGCUGUGUAUGGGUGGGGAGGGAGGAGGAAUUGCAUGAGUAAGAAUGAGAUGAGCAAUAGUUAGGUGGGGUGGAAAUGAAAUCUCAACAGUUAUUGGGGAUUCUGAUGUAUUUAUCAAACCAAAAGACGAUCUAAAAGCCAUACAAUCAGACUUAGAUUAGGGCAGUCUGUGAUAAGCAAAAGUUAAUAUAGUGUGUUGUUUUUGAAAAUAUGGCAUGAUAAUUAAUAGCAACUCUUUUUGUAUACUUGCUUGGUUAACAGGAGGAAACACAGAUAAAUUAAAUACUGGUUAGCAAUCUUUAAUAACCAGGAGAUGCUUAACAUUUAUUUAGAAAUCUGCAACAUUUUAUAAAUCAUUGUUUUGGCUUCUGGGACAAACUCAGAAUCUGGAACCCACGGAAACCCUUCAGUUACACAAAGGCUUUCCAGUUCAUUGCUACUGCACUGAAGAACAGUCUUCACAACUAUACCUGGAACUUACUAGGCCAAGAAGGCAAGGCGUUGAGUGUUUCAAUUGAAUAUUGCAACUGAAGACAUUCACUCUGCGUUGAUCACCUAUGGAGUGAUCAAAUUUCAACCCUUUGAAGUUUCCUAAAUGAAAGAGGCACUCUGAAUUCAAAGGCUGUUUGAAUGAACUGACUGCUUCAGCACUGUCUUGUAGAUAUAGUCCAUUCAAAUAAAAGACAAAUAUCUGACUGAAUUUUGUUAGCACGUUAAGACAUGUAUUAUAAAAAGGUUUAAGAAGAAAAUAAUGGCCACAAUUCUUCAGAAAACAUGUGAACUAAUGUGACAAAACACUGUGGUGUUGCAAACUCAAGUGCUGCUCUGGCCAAGUCACCUCGCUGAAAUCUCCACUUCCACUUGUGCAACCUACCAAGCCACUCUCUACACAGCUGCCAGAGUGAUUACAAAAACAACGCGGGAUUAUGCUACCCCUGCUUAUCUAAAAUUUGUCAAAAUGCCCGUUACACUUUGAAUAAAAUACAGAUUCCUCUCAGAUCUCAUUUCUUAUCAUGUCUUUCUCAAUCAUUAUGUUCCAGCCUCACUGACCUUCUUUCUGUUCCUGUAAAAUAUUCCUGCCUCAAGGGCGCAGGCCUACGACCUGCAGUUCUCUUUUUCCCACAUGUGACCAGGCUCUCUCUUAGCCAUCAGGUCUCAAAUAAGCUCUUUCCGUUCUGUCUAGGCAUCUUAUCAAAAUCAACCUGUGUAUUAUUAUUCAUUUAUCACAUAAUCUUGUUUUAUUUUCCUCAUAGCACUCUCACUUUCUGAAAUUAUCUU